AGCAUUAGGUAUAUGUUGGCGACAGAGUUACCCCUAUAAGCACCCCGAGCGCGCGUCUCUUGUAAUUCAGACUAAAAACUUGUUUGUUUUGCCGCAAUCAUUUACUGGUGAAAUCGUGGUGUUGGUGACAGAAACACAUAAGAAUGACUUCACCCGCGAUCAGCAAAUCUCCCGGUAAGCAGAAAGCUAGCAGCAAAUCACCGUCACAGGAGAAUGUGGAACGCACGCCCAACGGCGAGACAGCGGCUGCGACAUCUAGCGGCCAACAGCCGAUUGAUCCUUGUAGCUGGCUUAGAGUUUUUAAACUUGCAGAUCUAAUGAUGAAGCAAGGGUGUUAAAAGCCUAGAGUUAAGUUUCAGUAGAAGUACCUAAUUUGGACAUAAUAAUGCCUAGUUAAUUUAAUAAAAAGAAUAUUUGUUAUUACUAAUAUGCCAUUACAAUGAAGUUAGUUAAGUAGAUAGUUUAGUUUAUUCGUACAUACGUAAAAUAUCAGAAUGACAAUUAUUAAUUAUAGAUAAAAUAAUUAUUUAUUAAAGUAUUUUAUGUAGUCUAUUAUAAACAUAUUAUAGUAAUAAAUAGAUGUAUUUGGUUAUCUUUGUAGACUUAUAAUAUUGUUAUCUUUGUAGAUGUUAAAUAGUUUAUUAUUUUAAAAAUAUGUACCUACAUUACUCCUUACUUUGUGAUAAUGUAAGUAUACGUAUACUUACUCAACGACUGCUGCAUACUUAAGUACGUACCUAUGCAGAUUUAUGUAAUUCCCAAAAUGCAUUUAAAAGUCGACAAUAAACGUCUAUAAAAUAUAUAAAAAAAACGUAAAUAUCAUGUUCUCUAAAAUAUAAUUAUACUAACAGAAUGAGUAUAUUAAUUAAAAUAGAUUUU
rnacentral:lncRNA from 1 species